rnacentral:sRNA from 1 species
CUUCAGUUAAUUUUGUGGAGGGAUUC